AUAUGAAUCAGACUCCAGUAGGAGUUGUCAUGGGUCUUGCUUGGACUGCAAUGGGUGGUUCAACAUUGUAUGUUGAGACCGCCCUAGUGGAGCAAGGAGAAGGGAAAGGUGCACUUCUAUUGACGGGUCAGCUCGGAGACGUCAUGAAGGAGAGUGCGCAAAUAGCUCAUACCGUAGCCAGAGCAAUAUUGCUUCAGAAAGAACCAGACAAUCCAUUUUUUGCAGACUCCAAGCUCCAUUUGCAUGUGCCGGCUGGUGCUACCCCCCAAGGAUGGACCAAGUGCAGGGUGCACCAUGAUAACCUCAAUGUUUGUCUCUUGCCAUGAAAAAGCAUGUUAAAAAGAACUUGCAAUGACUGGUGAAGUAACAUUGACAGGACGGAUUCUCCCAAUUGGUGGGGUAAAGGAGAAGAUAAUUGCUGCAAGAAGAAGUGAGGUGAAGACUAUCAUAUUCCCAUCAGCUAACAGAAGAGAUUUUGAUGAGCUUGCUGCCAAUGUGAAGGAAGGCCUUGAAGUUCACUUCGUAGAUGAUUAUAACCAAAUAUUUGAGCUGGCUUUUGGAAGCAACUCUAAGCCACAAAUCUAAGUCUCUGAUCCACCUGUAUUGGGUCUUCACAUGUUAUAGUUUUCUUGACGACUGCAAGAAAUUCCAUGGUAGUUCUUCAUGAUGCAGCCACCAUGGACCAAUUCCAAAGAGAGUUAGCCUUUUAUUGAGGUCAUGGACAAUUCCUAACGGGCUUCCUAGAGCAUCCAUGAUUUGAAUGCUUGCAUGUACUGAUGCCUGAAGAUUGUUUAUUAAUUAUGUCUUACAACCAUUGCGAAAAAAACCAUAGCACGGCUGUAUUUUUUGUGAUCUUUUCUGGAGGUGGAUGGUGGUCAAGAUAUAAAUACAUUAUUUCGGCAUUUUUGUUUUCAUCAAUACUCAAAUGUAAACUACUCUCAAAACCUAAAUUUUUUAUUCAUUCAAAUGUAUGAUGAUAGCUGAUUAUUAAUUUGAUCAUGUUUGCUGGAUUGGUUUCAACUUUCAA